AUUGAACGCUGGCGGCAGGCCUAACACAUGCAAGUCGAACGAGUGGCGGACGGGUGAGUAAUGUAUGGGAAACUGCCCGAUGGAGGGGGAUAACCACCGGAAACGGUAGCUAAUACCGCAUACCAUCGGCUGUGCCCAGAUGGGAUUAGCUAGUAGGGGGGGUAACGGCUAACCUGGGCGACGAUCCAUCGCUGGGCUGAGAGGAUGAACAGCCCCACUGAAACUGAGACACGGUCCAGACUCCUACGGGAGGCAGCCGUGGGGAAUAUGACACAAUGGUGGCGAGCCUGAUGCAGCCAUGCCGGGUUUAUGAAGAAGGCCUUCGGGUUGUAAAGCGCUUUCAGCCAUGACGCGGUAGUGGCAGAAGAAGCACCGGCUAACUACGUGCCAGCAGCCGCGGUAAUUC
rnacentral:rRNA from 1 species